GUCCACGCCGUAAACGAUGGAUACUAGCUGUUGGGCGCAAGUUCAGUGGCUAAGCGAAAGUGAUAAGUAUCCCACCUGGGGAGUACGUUCGCAAGAAUGAAACUCAAAGGAAUUGACGGGGCCCGCACAAGCGGUGGAGCAUGUGGUUUAAUUCGAUGAUACGCGAGGAACCUUACCAAGGCUUAAAUGUAGAUUGACCGAUUUUGGAAACAGAUCUUUCGCAAGACAAUUUACAAGGUGCUGCAUGGUUGUCGU
rnacentral:rRNA from 1 species